rnacentral:rRNA from 1 species
AUUGAACGCUGGCGGCAGGCCUAACACAUGCAAGUCGAGCGAGCGGCGGACGGGUGAGUAAUGUCUGGGAAACUGCCUGACGGAGGGGGAAAACUACUGGAAACGCUAGCUAAUACCCCAUACCAUCAGAUGUGCCAAGAUGGGAUUAGCUAGUAGGUGGGGUAACGGCUGACCUAGGCGACGAUCCCUAUCUGGACUGAGAGGAUGACCAGCCAAACUGGAACAGAGACACGGUCCAGACUCCUACGGCAGGCAGCAGUGGGAAAGAUUGCACAAGGGGCGCAGGCCUGAUGGAGCCAUGCAGCGUGUGUGAAGAAGGCCUUCGGGUUGUAAAGCACUUUCAGCGGGAAGGCGUUACCCGCAUAAGAAGCACAAGCUAACUCCGUGCCAGCAGCCGCGGUAAUAC